rnacentral:sRNA from 1 species
UCGCCAUUUUUGUCGGGCUUGCAAUUGU